rnacentral:rRNA from 1 species
UACAGAGGGUGCAAGCGUUGUUCGGAAUUAUUGGGCGUAAAGGGCGCGUAGGCGGCCUUCUAAGUCGAACGUGAAAUCCCCGGGCUCAACCCGGGAACUGCGUCCGAUACUGGAAGGCUUGAAUCCGGGAGAGGGAUGCGGAAUUCCAGGUGUAGCGGUGAAAUGCGUAGAUAUCAGGAGGAACACCGAUGGCGAAGGCAGGUCACUGGGCCGCAACUGACGCUGAGGAGCGAAAGCAUGGGGAGCGAACAGG